AUUGAACGCUGGCGGCAGGCCUAACACAUGCAAGUCGAACGAGUGGCGGACGGGUGAGUAAUGUCUGGGAAACUGCCCGAUGGAGGGGGAUAACUACUGGAAACAGUCGCUAAUACCGCAUACCAUCGGAUGUGCCCAGAUGGGAUUAGCUAGUAGGUGGGGUAACGGCUCACCUAGGCGACGAUCCCUAGCUGGUCUGAGAGGAUGACCAGCCAUACUGGAACUGAGCGACGGUCCAGACUACUACGGGAGGCAGCAGUGGGAAAUAUUGCACAAUGGGCGCAAGCCUGAUGCAGCCAUGCCGCGUAUAUGAAGAAGGCCUUCGGGUUGUAAAGUACUUUCAGCGAGGAGGCGUUACUCGCAGAAGAAGCACCGGCUAACUCCGUGCCAGCAGCCGCGGUAAUUC
rnacentral:rRNA from 1 species